UAAGCGCAACAGCAGUUUUAUGCUUUAAA
rnacentral:sRNA from 1 species